rnacentral:lncRNA from 1 species
ACCCAACGAAAGCAACUCCGAGGGUUUACAACAUGACGGUCCAGGAUACGGUGGCAGCUGAAAACAGAACUCCAGGUGCUAUUUGAAUAACUUAUAUAUCUUAUAUUUCUGCUUAAUCGGAUAGACAAGUGUUAUGAUGAAUAAUUAAAGAUCAGUUCGAUCAAGUAUGAUCGAGAUCUACGUACAAUGAUUAUAUGUUAUGUACCCUUCUGCAUAUGAGUUUUUAAAGCGGUGAUUCCGGGGACGGAAUCCUUAUAAGGGAGGGUGAAUGUAAUAACCCGAGAUUUUCUAUAUAAAAUAAAUAAGAAAUUUUGCGUAUAAAUUUUUUUUUUUUUUAAUGACGAGAC